GAUGAACGCUGGCGGCGUGCCUAAUACAUGCAAGUCGAGCGAACAGACGAGGAGCUUGCUCCUCUGACGUUAGCGGCGGACGGGUGAGUAGCACGUGGAUAACCUACCUAUAAGACUGGGAUAACUUCGGGAAACCGGAGCUAAUACCGGAUAAUAUAUUGAACCGCAUGGUUCAAUAGUGAAAGACGGUUUUGCUGUCACUUAUAGUUGGAUCCGCGCCGCAUUAGCUAGUUGGUAAGGUAACGGCUUACCAAGGCAACGAUGCGUAGCCGACCUGAGAGGGUGAUCGGCCACACUGGAACUGAGACACGGUCCAGACUCCUACGGGAGGCAGCAGUAGGGAAUCUUCCGCAAUGGGCGAAAGCUUGACGGAGCAACGCCGCGUGAGUGAUGAAGGUCUUCGGAUCGUAAAACUCUGUUAUUAGGGAAGAACAAAUGUGUAAGUAACUAUGCACGUCUUGACGGUACCUAAUCAGAAAGCCACGGCUAACUACGUG
rnacentral:rRNA from 1 species